AAUAUUCUCAGUUACCUCUUCUGAGUAAAACAAUAAGCCCAAUGUAUGACCUAGACACUAUUUUGUGAAGUUACAGUGCUGUAAAAGAGACCUGUCAAUUUCAGAUUUUUAAGUGUGAAUUUUCAUAUAUUGUUUUGAUGGGUCCACGUUCUAUUUAGAAAUUUUUUAGCAGGCUGCUUAUUCCAACUACCUUAAAAAGACAUACCAUUUCUUAAAGAAGACAACCGAG